rnacentral:misc_RNA from 1 species
UUAAGUUCAGCGGGUAGCCCUACCUGAUUUGAGGUCAAUGUCAAAAGAUUGGGGGUUGUGAGCGGCCUCAGGACGGCCGGGACGAAACUUAUCACGUCAGGCGUAGGUCAAGAAGUUCCCACUGAGUCAUUUGAAGCGAGCCUUGGGAGGCAGACACCCAGUUCCAAGUCCACACAGGUGAGAAACCCGUGGGAUUGAUG